GGGAAUGUGGCUUAGUGGUAGAGCACUUGCCUAGCAUGCAUGAAACCCUGGGUACAUUCAAUUCCA
rnacentral:tRNA from 1 species